rnacentral:rRNA from 1 species
CCCUUGAACCUUAAAAGUGCUGGAAUCUUCCGCAAUGGACGAAAGUCUGACGGAGCAACGCCGCGUGUAUGACGAAGGCCUUCGGGUUGUAAAGUACUGUCUUUGGGGACGAACGGCGCCUAUGUAAAUAAUGUAGGCGAGUGACGGUACCCAAGGAGGAAGCCCCGGCUAACUACGUGCCAGCAGCCGCGGUAAUACGUAGGGGGCAAGCGUUGUCCGGAAUUAUUGGGCGUAAAGGGCGCGUAGGCGGAUGCUUAAGUCCGGUGUGAAAGACUGGGGCUCAACCCCAGGGUUGCAUCGGAAACUGGGCGUCUUGAGGACAGGAGAGGAAAGCGAAAUUCCACGAGUAGCGGUGACAUGAGUAGAUAUGUGGAGGAACACCAGUGUCGAAGACGGCUUUCUGGACUGUAACUGACGGUGAGGCGCGAAAGAGUGGGGAGCAGACAGGAUUAGAUACCAUGGUAGUCCACUCCGUAAACGAUGAGUCCUAGGUGUAGAGGAUAUCGACCCCCUCUCUCCCGCAGUUGACUCUAUGACCAAGACGCA